CUAAGAGGGUUCGGCCAUAACAAGGAAAAAGAAAAAAAUUUUAGCCCUUCAAUCUUCAUUCCAAAAAUCUUGUUCUUCUUGGAUUCUUACUAAGUUCAAGAUUCUCUACGACGUGGUAUAAUUAGUUUAGCGAAAGGACGACGUUUGUGGCAAGAGAAAAUUUGAAGAAAAAGAUUCUGGAGCAAACGGGACUUGAGUUUGGGCCACCGUAAGGAGAGCUAAAGGUGCAGAGGUUCGUGAUUCGCCACUGUAGGCCACACUUUCUGCUACUACAGAGUGCUCCUUUUGAUUCGGAGCCCAUAUUUUGGUACAUAUCUUUAUCAUGUAUAUAUUUCUGUAUAUUUGAAUAUUUGGGGUACGGCGGGACCCUGUCCCGUCAUAUGUUUCCGUUUAGGUUUGUAGAGGUCUGUAGUCAUAUAUGUGGGUCGAGGGUCCUAUGUGUGUUCGCUUUGUUUACGAUUUGUGUCUUAAUGCGGUCCUGUCUGUUACGACGGCCAUGGUGGCCCAUAUAUUUGUAUAUGUGCUUAUAUUCGGCGAUGUGUAUUCCGCCGCCCCUUUUUGGCUUUGAUAUGAUAUCUUUGCACGCGCGACCGCUUAAGAUAAUAUUUGAUUUCAAAUCUGUUUAAAAUGAUUAAAAUGAAAUCUGAGUUAAAUUAGAAUAGGACAAGUUAGCAUGUAAGUCUGUUUGGGGUGUCCAAAUAGGGCACCAGUCGCGGCCCACGGAGCUGGGUCGUGACACUAUGCAUAGCGGAAGGUAGACUGGACUGCUUUAAGCGAUAACGAGCUGCCACCAAGACCAGUUAGGUCUGCCAUAGAUUAUGAUGCAGUUGAAACAAUAGAUGUUAAUUAGUUCAGUUUGGUUUUUAAGUGUAUUUUUGAUGCACAGUAGUGCUUUGAUUAGUAAUUGGUACAUUUUGAAACUUUUUGUUUUGUUAAGAAUACACCAAAGUGUGGUGUAUUCUUUGAAUGAACUAUUAUUAUGUAUAUUACAAUAGCA